rnacentral:rRNA from 1 species
UACGUAGGUGGCAAGCGUUGUUCGGAAUUACUGGGCGUAAAGCGCGCGUAGGCGGCUCUUCAAGUCAGGCGUGAAAGCCCCGGGCUUAACUCGGGAACUGCGCUUGAUACUGUCGAGCUAGAGUGUGGAAGGGGCGAUUGGAAUUCCGUGUGUAGCGGUGAAAUGCGUAGAUAUGCGGAGGAACACCGAUGGCGAAGGCAAUCCCCUGGGCCUGCACUGACGCUCAUGCACGAAAGCGUGGGGAGCAAACAGG